AAUAAGGGCAAAGAUCAGUUUCUGCCUUGUAAUUAACGUGGCAAUAAAACAGGAGCAAACGAGCACAGAAGGACAUUUGGAUUUCUAGCCAGCCAGAAACUGUUUCUACAUAAGACAAAUAUUUCAAAAUAUUUAUUGUAAAUCCAGAUCCAUUCUGUUGAGAGCAGAGCCCCAACACCGAACUCCGUUAAAGAAUCUGAUAAUUUUUAAGUGUGUCACUUCUCGUGUGUCAGUGAAACAUGAUGUUUAAGGCACAAGCACACACACACACACACACACACACAUCUUUCAGAAAAUGGAAAACUGAUUUGGUCGAAAUGACAGCAUUUAUAGGUGGUUUACCCGCGAAUACCAAGUGUUAGUUUCGCUCGCUAUUAAUGUAAGUUGAUAUUUUAUUGCAAUAAUGGCAACAAUGUCGAAAGAGACUCUUUGAUUUCUGCAGAUUUGAUGUACUCUUGGUGAUUCGUAAAAACAAAUCCUGAGUGUAACAUCAUGGAGCGCUUGGAAAAGCAGAACAUAGAAAACGAUAUAUAUAUAUAUAUAUAUAUAUAUAUAUAGAUUUGUUUUGUAAUUUGGCUCGCUCAGUUUCAUUUCACACGCGUUGCCAAACACCCUUGCAAAAUCUCUUAAGUUAAUUCCUCUUUGCUCACUGACGAAUGUACUCACGGGCGCAUAUCGCAGUUUUUGAAGCACGUGUCGACGUGAGUUAAACACUGAAUUCGGCGAGGACCAUUUUGACAAAGCAUUGCCUGUUGUUGACGGCCGCUGAUGAGCAGAGUGUCCAGUCCAGACUCAGUAUCAGAGUAUGACCCCCAGCAGCAGCUCGAUGGAGCCGGACAUGGAUUAUGCCAACGCCAGAAAUAAGCUUCAAAUAAUAAAUAGCUGAUGACAACACAUUCACAGAACGUGUCAGGAACUGGUGAAAUAGCAGGUCGUCGGUCCACAUACCUUUAAUGUCUACUUUGAAUUCCCCUUGUUGAUGAAAACAAACCAGCAGUCAUUUUGCUCUCCCCUGCAUCCCGGAAGUGACGUCCCUCGAUGUCUUAAAAUGAUUUUUCUUUAGUUGGUUAAUUACUUCCUUUUGGGUAGAUAUUUAAAUAACAUCACAUGCAGUUUUUUUCUGUAUUUACUUCUCGGGAUAGCAGCAUAAUUGAAAGAAAAUAUAAUUCUUAAACAAAAAGGUCUCCAGAUUAACAGGCAUAUGAUGUCAUUAAAUGCUGCUGAUGGUGGUCAUAAUUUGUGGUGUAUUGUUUCACGUGUAGUUUCCCUGAUGCUCUGCAGAUGUUGUUUAGUAUGACAGAGCUUUUUCAAGGUCGGCACUUUAUUUUAAAGCCACGGCAGGAAAAGGUCAUGUGUAAUUAAUAACAUUAGUCAUAGGUGUGUUCAUGAUGGUUGAGGUUAAGCACCCUGGUGUUGAGCACUAGAUGUGACACAUAAAAGAAAAAGACACCGCUUUUACAGCAUGUUUUAAAGCAAUACAAUUCUUUCAGAUUGUGACUUCUUUCUUUAAUUCACAACAUUAUAAAUGACUGCUUUCCGUUCACAGUGCUAGAUUCAUGCAUUCAGAUAUGCAAAUGAUGACAAGUGGACGGUGGUUGGCUACAUUUUCUUCACUUUGCAGUGACAAAGUCACUUUGCUUGUGUGAUGUUUCAACCACUUUUAACUGCUUUUACCUCUACUGACAUUUAUUAAUGUAUUAAUUUCAACGUCUAUCAGAUGCAUGCCCCUUUCGCUCUUUAUGUAUUUCAUCUUUAAUUAUGUGUUACUUUUUGUUAUCUGUUAUUUCUUCACUGUUAGCUAUUCACCAGUUCAUUUGAUGCAUUUACUUAAUUUUUUUUGAACAUAUUCUGCAUUACUUUGAGUCAAACUGUAUAUUGCAACCAUUUGUUUCAAUUUGUCAUCUGUCUUCUGUAGUUUUCCCUCACCAUCUUCACCAUCAAGUAAAAAGCUGCAAGUUUGAUUGCA